rnacentral:rRNA from 1 species
AACGAACGCUGGCGGCAUGCCUAACACAUGCAAGUCGAACGAGACCUUCGGGUCUAGUGGCGCACGGGUGCGUAACGCGUGGGAACCUGCCCUUAGGUUCGGAAUAACUCCCCGAAGGGGGUGCUAAUACCGGAUAGUGUCUUCGGACCAAAGAUUUAUCGCCUUUGGAUGGGCCCGCGUUGGAUUCGCUAGUUGGUAGGGUAAAAGCCUACCAAGGCGACGAUCCAUAGCUGGUCUGAGAGGAUGAUCAGCCACACUGGGACUGAGACACGGCCCAGACUCCUACGGGAGGCAGCAGUGGGGAAUAUUGGACAAUGGGCGAAAGCCUGAUCCAGCAAUGCCGCGUGAGUGAUGAAGGCCUUAGGGUUGUAAAGCUCUUUUACCCGGGAUGAUAAUGACAGUACCGGGAGAAUAAGCUCCGGCUAACUCCGUG